AACUUUGGACAUUGGGGGAAACCCUGUUCCAGCCAUCCCGCGUGUUUGAUGAAGACCUUCGGUUUGUAAAGUACUUUUGGCAGAGAACAAUAGGCAGCCCCUAAUACGGGAUACUGCUGACGGUACCUGCAGACUAAGCACCGGCUAACUACGUGCCAGCAGCCGCGGUAAUACGUAUGGUCCAAGCGGUAAUCGGAAUUACUGGGCGGAAAGCGUGGGGAGGCGGUUAGGAAAGAAAGAUGUGAGAUCCCAGGGCUCAACCUUGGAACUGCAUUUUUAACUGCCGAGCUAGAGUAUGUCAGAGGGGGGUAGAAUUCCACGUGUAGCAGUGAAAUGCGUAGAUAUGUGGAGGAAUACCGAUGGCGAAGGCAGCCCCCCUGGGAUAAUACUGACGCUCAGACACGAAAGCGUGGGGAGCAAACAGG
rnacentral:rRNA from 1 species